GAACCGGACGAACGUUUAUUCGGAAUCACUGGGCUUAAAGAGUGCGUAGGCGGCUUGGCAGGUUGGGUGUGAAAGCCCUCGGCUCAACCGAGGAAUUGCGCUCAAAACCGCCAGACUUGAGGGAGGCAGAGGUGGGCGGAACUGAUGGUGGAGCGGUGAAAUGCGUUGAUAUCAUCAGGAACACCAGUGGCGAAGGCGGCUCACUGGGCCUCUUCUGACGCUGAGGCACGAAAGCUAGGGGGAGCGAACGGGAUUAGAUACCCCGGUAGUCCUAGCUGUAAACGAUGAGCACUUGGUCGAGGGGACUUCCACAUCCUCUCGGCCGGAGCGAAAGUGUUAAGUGCUCCGCCUGGGAGUAUGGUCGCAAGGCUG
rnacentral:rRNA from 1 species